rnacentral:rRNA from 1 species
UACGUAGGGGCCUAGCGUUGUCCGGAUUUAUUGGGCGUAAAGAGCUCGUAGGCGGUUCGGUAAGUCAGGUGUGAAAUCUCCACGCUCAACGUGGAGGCGCCACCUGAAACUGCCGUGACUCGAGUCCGGUAGGGGAGUGUGGAAUUCCCGGUGUAGCGGUGAAAUGCGCAGAUAUCGGGAGGAACACCAGUGGCGAAGGCGGCACUCUGGGCCGUACCUGACACUGAUGCGCGACAGCAUGGGGAGCAAACAGG